rnacentral:ribozyme from 1 species
CUAUACCCAUCAUUUAACAAAUUAUUCAAAUUAUAAUGGCCUACCGAACGCCCGACCAAGCUGAUCUUCCCCAAGACAGCCCCGCUGACUUUUUAAUACGGCAGCGACACACUCAUGGAUCAGUGGGAGGUUCAAUCGGGAGCCCUAUGCGUAUACCAGCAGAACAGCGAGAU